rnacentral:rRNA from 1 species
GACGAACGCUGGCGGCGUGCUUUACACAUGCGAGUCGAACGGAAAGGCCCUGCUUUUGUGGGGUGCUCGAGUGGCGAACGGGUGAGUAACACGUGAGUAACCUGCCCUUGACUUUGGGAUAACUUCAGGAAACUGGGGCUAAUACCGGAUAGGAGCUCCUGCUGCAUGGUGGGGGUUGGAAAGUUUCGGCGGUUGGGGAUGGACUCGCGGCUUAUCAGCUUGUUGGUGGGGUAGUGGCUUACCAAGGCUUUGACGGGUAGCCGGCCUGAGAGGGUGACCGGCCACAUUGGGACUGAGAUACGGCCCAGACUCCUACGGGAGGCAGCAGUGGGGAAUAUUGCACAAUGGGCGGAAGCCUGAUGCAGCAACGCCGCGUGCGGGAUGACGGCCUUCGGGUUGUAAACCGCUUUCGCCUGUGACGAAGCGUGAGUGACGGUAAUGGGUAAAGAAGCACCGGCUAACUACGUG